CCUCCAGGGCGCCUGCGGGACCGACGAGACGGGCGGGGCGGGGGUCAGCGGAGGCCAGGGCGGCCUUGCCCGAGCCCCAGCCCACCUGCGGCCGCGCGGAUCACCGUGGUUCUUGCGGCUCCCGGGCGUGGCCAUUUACAACCCGCCUCGCACCUGCUAGAGAAAAGACCCCGGCCAUGGAUGGGAGACCUAGGACAAAGAUGGAAAAGAGAAUCAACUCUGCCUUAGGCGAACAAUUUACCAUAAUAUUCUGAGACAGGAGUGGAAUAACACCUCCAGCCAUUACCUGCAAAUGAGAGCUGCUUUAGGCGGGCAUUUGAUCGAGCUUCCUGGACUUUAUCUGUCAAUGACUUCCAGGCAUCUGAAAGGAAAUAAAGAAAACCCGUAAGCCAGAAAAUAUGCACGUAAACCCUUCUUAAUACCAAUGAUGUGCACAAGCACUGCUUAGAAUCCCUACAGUGUGAACACUUGCCCUCCUAGAGCAGUGUUUUGUUAUUUUUCUUAGAGUUUAAGUCAGUUCAUUACAUGUGAAAGGAGCCGAAAAGGUACACUCCCCAGCAGGGCUUCUUUCUGUUGGAGGACACAGAAGCACUAAGGAAAGUCAGACCUUCUGAAAUGAACUCUGAAUCCCCAACGCAUUCACAUCCCUUGAUGGAAGUCUGGGUCUCACACCUGAAUGUUUGGUAUUUUUAUGUUCCCUGUACCCCUAAUCAAAACAGCACUAGUAAUAAUGAUUUAAGCAGGACUGUGGGAAGAUCAUAACCUCUCUGUUCCUUAAAGUUAAGAGGCAGAACUAGAAAAUCCUUACAGUUCCUUCCAGCUCUAACCCAAGAUUCUGUGAUCUUUUCCUGUCUGCUAGGCAUUUCCACAUGGAUUUCUUACAUCACUCCACAUCAAUGUCUUCUGUGGAACCCCCAUACUCCUUACUUAUCUCCUUUGUUCUCCAUGCAUUAUCUUUUGUUUUAGUCACCCAGGCCUGAAUCUUUAGGGUCAUCUUUGACUCUCCCCUCUCCAUAUUCCACCAAGUGUACUCAUUCUUCUUUCCUUUCCUUUCUUUUCCCACCGAAUGUGGGCUUUAUUACCAGACAUCUCUACUCUAGCAAUACUCUCAUUAGUAAACUCUCGUCUUUGAGCAUCUCCAGUUCAUGCUCAAUCUGUCUCAUAUAGAGAGCUUAUCACAUUAUGUUUCCUGAAAUUCUGCUUCUAUUCACUCCCUCAAGUUUUCAAAGUCCUCAAGGUUUGGCACUGAAAGCCCUCUAAAACCUGUGCCCUAUCCACCUUCCCAAUUUUCUCUUUCACUAUUACCUCACAUGGAUUUCAAUGCCAUCUCACCUGACACUACUCUAAACCCACCAAAUGCAGUCCUGCCUUUCUAACUUUGCUUACCUCCCUUCUUCUUCCUAGAGAGCCCUGCAUUCUUCUUUGCCUAACCCAAAUUCCAUUUUCUCCUUUAAUAGAAUCUUCUAUUUAUCUUCAUGGGUUUUUGAUAACCCUAACUCACCCAUGGUGACCUUUCUCUUCUUUGAACUCUUCUAGUACUUACAGCCUAGAGAACAUUUACUAGUCCUUCAAAGGUGGAUGAACACUUAGAUGCUUGCGAUACAAAGAUGAAUAAGAAAAUAAAAUUCCAGCCCUUAUGGAGAGCUCGCUGUUGAGUGAGUGAUAAAAGUAAACAAACACGGACAAAACAAAAUGUAAGCUAUGAGAGAAGAACAUGUAAGAUUCAAAAGGAGGGAGAGGGAGGGCUUAGCUACCUCAGAAGGUCAGGGAAGACCGUCUGAGCUGGAUCUUGAAGGGUGAGCUGGAGCUCACCAGGUGAUUGAGGGCAGGGAGAGAACUCCAGGCAGAGGAGAAAGCACGUGUGAAGGCACACAAGGGAGAGAGAAGGGCACAGAAGGCGCAUGAGGGAAUGGCAAAAAACAAGGCUGGAGGGGGAAGCAGAGUUCUCAGGGGCUCCGCUAAGGUGUGUGCAAUGUUGAAAACAUAAUCUGUAUCAUUAACUUUUCAUGUAAAAUAUGGCUAUUUCUCCAAUAAGACAAACUUCUCAAGGACAAGGAAAAUGUAUGAUGCCUCCAGGUAUCCCCCUACCAUCUAGCAUAAAACAGCCACCUAAAUGGUGCUAAUACUCAGAAAAUGAAGCUCUAGCUGAAACAGGGCUUCUGCUGAUGGGUCAACCUGAUUUAAUCCACUCACCUUCAAUACUUUCUGCACAGAUCUGAAAGCCAUCAUCACUGGAAAUUUCAAAAACAAGUCCUUUCUUGGGUUUUUUCUCAGUAAUGCUUUCCUUCCGCUUUUGUUCUUGCUGAAGCCAAAGCAUCAGUGGGGAGCUGAAAUUACUUUCCUCUUCUUCCACUGUUUUAGGUUCUAAUAGGGAGAAAAUAGAUAGUGGUUGCAGUAACAAAUGCUCACUGAGCACUGACUACAUGUAGAGUACUUUACAUAAAUGAUCUCUAAGCCUAACAACAUUCCACAGUUGGUUUAUUAUUCCCAUUUAUAGAUAACAAACCCAAGACUCAAAGAGCUUGCCUAGGUCAUUGCUAGAAAGUGGUGACUAAAACCAGAUUUUUUUUUACAUGAAGUUAUGCUCUCUGUGGUAGAAUUUCUAGUAUGACGAUCUGAUAGUUUUUCAAUAAGCAACUGUCCUCAAUAGAGUUAUACCCAGAACUCUCUAAUCUUGAAGUGACCAUUUGUUUCCUAAUCAAAUUCAUUAGAACUGAUGGAAAAUGCCAUGGAGAUGUAUCUGGUAUUGUAACCAAAAUCUGACUAUCUAAUAAAAAUGGUUCUUAGUUUUCUUUAGUAACAACUAAAAAGUGAAGUCAGGUUAUUACUAGCUAUUUAAGCCUCAGUGCUGGUAAAACCAGUACAGCAGAAGAGUAUGGGUAUGGUCUUGAGUCCUUAGCUGACAGGUGAUCACACAAUAUGUACUGGAAGAACACUGCACCGAGAGACAGGUGCGCCAAGUUUCAGUCCAAUGUGGGCCAAAUCACUUAACUUCUUUGGAGCUUAGAUUUUUUUUUUUAAAUGUAGAAAAUAAGUAGGUAAAGUGGGUGAUUCUCAUAAUCCUUUUAGCAUUGAUAUUCUCUGAUUCUAACCUUUUACCCACCCACAUACCUGCACUUUCUUGUUCAUUUGCUGGAUUUUGGGUCACCUGAACUUCCGGAAGAACAGCGACUUGCCUAAAUAAAAACCAAAUGUAAGAUAUAAUAUCAGCUAGUUCUUCAAUUCAAAGAAAAAACCCAGAAUUUUCUAUACAGC
rnacentral:lncRNA from 10 species